CUAAAAGCUAGAAGGCCACAGCUAGAGGAACAAGUUCACAGAUGGGUGCUUGAACAACGUGCCGCUGGGAGAGGCUUGUCAACAGUUCAGUUACACCUCCACGCCCAGGUAGUUGCCAAGGAGAUGAAGUUCAGUGACUUUGCGGGAGGUCCUUCUUGGUGUUACCGCUUCAUGCAGCGCAACCGCCUCUUCAUCAGAGCACGGACAUCGAUGUCCCAAAAACUGCCAGCAGACUUCCAAGCCAAGAUCGACAGCUUCCACGUAUCCGUGUGCAAGAACCUAUGGUAGGCAGCGGAGGAGAUGAUGGUGGAGCUACAAACUAGACGGCUGGCCAGUGACCAAUGUUCAAGACGUUUCAUUUUUGCUGACUUUUUGGAGCGAGAAGUUGGGACAUCACUAGUCGUGUUUGUAGCAGCCAAAUCAGGAAGUGCUCAGAUCUCAUGGAAAUGCAGCAUGACACCCUGAGCUGACUUAAUAUCUCUUUAAAGGGUCACAAGCCAAAAAGGUUUAUAUAAACAGCAGCAGAUGAACGCUUCCUGGAGUGAAGCUGACUUAUCAACACGACAGAGCCUCUUCGCCUUUAUGAUCCUCUCUGUAUGUCGUGUGCAGUGACAUUCGCUGUCAUUACAAUAUAUUUAUCCGGGCCUGCCAACAUGGGAACUUGCUCAGAGCUCUUUUAAUGUACUUCUGCAGAGCCACGGAGAUGCUACGUGGUGAUAUAUCUUUCAACUUUCUUGAGGAGAUCUCCUUCUGUGACCUUGUCUCUCACAAUAACCAGUGUCUCUUAUUCGGCUGCACACUCUCUUUGUUUUGAAGUCGUGAUCUUCCUGUAACCUUAGCGGCACAGAGCUGGGCAAAUCAAACAAAGAGAGCUUAGUCAUCCUUUCAGCUCCCUUAAGUCUUCAGUGACAGCCCCGCGGCAGCGCAGACUCAAAGACAGAGACCGAUGCUAAUUAGCGCAUCGCUAACAUGCACAGAUAUGUCACGCACAGUUUGCCCUGUGACCUCUUACAUUUUAACCUGUAACAUUGGAAAUUUAAGAAAUGCACUGGCAUCAGUUGCAGCUUCUUUUGACGAAAAUGUUUUUUGUUUUUUUUGUUUUUUGCUCCACGUCACAUCACAUCUUGCUGUGUUUGCAUGAUGAGUGUGGUGGGCAGCGACUUGCUGCAGAGCAUGACACUGGGUUAUGCAAGGUAAUUUACUCCGAUCUGGGGCCUUCCAUGCAAGCACCAGGGAGAGUUACAGUUACCUUAUCUCCCAAAUCACUUAAAACACAGCAGCGGCGCCGGGGAUUCAAUUCACCCUCAAUUCAAUUAAACUGCGAACUGAAACUUCUCCUGGUGAUUAUCAACCGUUCAUUCUCAAAUGACUCUUUCAGAGACUGAAUUAUAAGAAGUGUCACUGAGAAAGAACUGAGAGAAUGAAGUUCCUUGAGCGAGAGAAACAUUUCAAAAGCCUCUGUUUUUUUUCCCUUGCCAGUUAAAAUGAACCUAACAACAUCAAAGCUCUGGUCUUGAUCACAAAACAUCACAACAAACUGCACGGGGAACUUAAGAAACUAAAGUCAUGCUGCAGACUCCGUAAAGCUGUAAUUAGGCACAGGAGCUUUGAGCUGAACGGUAAAAUGAGAAACUUUUUUUCAACCCCGGCAGUUCAGGUGCCGAUCCGGGACCAGUGCCUACUCCAGAACCAGUUCUUCAGGUUUCAACAACCAAAUGACUUUUAACAUUUUUAAAUAAUGUUACUAAAAGAUUAAAUGUAAGUAACAUGAUUGAAUGUAUAUUUUACAUAGUUAUUUUAACCUUUACCUUGUACGGUUUAUUGCCUAAACCUUACAAAUCCGUGAUCAUUUCAUAUUAACUGUUUAUAAAUAAAACAGUCGACAAGCUUUAUUUUGAAAGCCUAACCAGACGUUGCACGGGUAUUAUUGCUACCUUGAUCGCAGAGCCAUUCACAUGCAAAACAGUGUCAUAGUUUAAAGCUGACUAGUUGGUUGUAUUUGAUGAGUUAAGAGUGAGGAUGCAUUCAUUCAAUAACAUUUUUUGGCCAGAUCAAUGACCCCCAGACCAAAGACAAAUUGACAGAUUUAAAUUUUGACCAGAGAAUGGCACUAGCUCACCAAAAUUAUUAAAAUUCAUCAAAGUCUGGAUCAGAUUUCACUGAGACCCAUCGAGUCUGAGCAUCAUCUGUAAAAUUCCUGGUGGUGUCAAGGAAAAAAGUCAUUGCCAAAGGAUUGCCAAAGCCAGGAGGACGACCAUGUGCAUUUCUCUUUCUGUCAAUGCCAACAGCCUCCUGUGAGAAGUGCUGGAGUGCCCACCUACCUCUGCCUGUCUG